UACGUAGGGUGCAAGCGUUGUCCGGAAUUAUUGGGCGUAAAGAGCUCGUAGGCGGUCUGUCGCGUCUGCUGUGAAAACUCAGGGCUUAACCCUGAGCUUGCAGUGGGUACGGGCAGACUAGAGUGCGGUAGGGGAGACUGGAAUUCCGUGGUGUAGCGGUGAAAUGCGCAGAUAUCAGGGAGGGAACACCCGGUGGCGAAAGGCGGGUCUCUGGGCCGUAACUGACGCUGGAGGAGCGAAAGCAUGGGGAGCGAACAGG
rnacentral:rRNA from 1 species